CUGCCAAUAGGUUAGAAAGACAACAGACUUAAUGAUCACAAACUUUGGGACUGGAUUGAAUGGCUGAAGGAGAUCUCUGCAGGCCAUGUAGAACAGCACAAGUGCGUACAAAGCAACUGUGUAGGAUAUGGUGUAGAUGAUGGUAAGGUAGAGAUAUGCUUGAUCAGGGUUGAAGUUUCCAUCCUUGUACUUCCCUUUUGCGUAAAGCACAAGUGUGACAGCCACUAGGAUAGGCUUUAGGAUUACAAAUUGUAGACAGCCUUGCUUGCACCGUCGAAUAAAACGCCUGCAAAGAAAAAGACCAUGGCGCAUAAGAAAACAGCAUGAGACAGAGACAUCCAAACAGACUGUUUAAUGUUUGUGUAAGCUAAUGGUUGUCUUUAAGGACAACACUCAUAAUGGCUAUUAACGUGACUAUGUAACCACUGCUCAAUCUUGAUGAGUAGAAAGAACUUAACUACUUACCCAUCCAAUGUUAAUGGCGGAAAGCAACAAGUCAUGAGACACCAUGAUGGUUUAAGAGAGCGACCGCUCAAACUAAGCACGACAGCUCCUGGACCUCCAACCCACGCCAAACACAGAGAUAAGAAGUUGUAAAUGACCCAUGCCUCAUAACUGAAAAACACCAAAAGUUAGCCAUUAGAGUCAAACUUAACAUGGGUUACAGAGUUGGUUGAGUACUUAGGAGUACUCACACUUCACGUAUGGAAUCAAAAUAGAUGGAGCUUGUAGGUAGCACAAGAGACAAGAAUGACAUGAAGGCAUAAACCUGGCAAGAGAAAACAAUCAAGAACAACAUGUCAGCGAGAGUAAAACAAUGUCAAGAGGUAAUAGAGAUGGGUGAGAAGACUAACCGGGACCAUGAAGAUGAUCCGAACGAUGUAUCUCUGAUAAGUAGGCUCCGUGUAAUUGAGAAGCACACAUAUUAUGAAAUUUUGAAAAUGAGCCGCUUCCUCUGCGGUCUGUAUGAAUCCAGACUUUGCAGCAAGAAAGACAAGAACACCCUGUUCAAAGGAAGAGAGUCAUAUAACACAAAAGUCAAGAGUUGAUGUCUAAUACUACAAAGUUAGAACGCAAAUUUUUACCUGCCAAUAGGUUAGAAAGACAACAGACUUAAUGAUCACAAACUUUGGGACUGGAUUGAAUGGCUGAAGGAGAUCUCUGCAGGCCAUGUAGAACAGCACAAGUGCGUACAAAGCAACUGUGUAGGAUAUGGUGUAGAUGAUGGUAAGGUAGAGAUAUGCUUGAUCAGGGUUGAAGUUUCCAUCCUUGUACUUCCCUUUUGCGUAAAGCACAAGUGUGACAGCCACUAGGAUAGGCUUUAGGAUUACAAAUUGUAGACAGCCUUGCUUGCACCGUCGAAUAAAACGCCUGCAAAGAAAAAGACCAUGGCGCAUAAGAAAACAGCAUGAGACAGAGACAUCCAAACAGACUGUUUAAUGUUUGUGUAAGCUAAUGGUUGUCUUUAAGGACAACACUCAUAAUGGCUAUUAACG
rnacentral:lncRNA from 1 species